rnacentral:rRNA from 1 species
UACGUAGGGUGCAAGCGUUAAUCGGAAUACUGGGCGUAAAGCGUGCGCAGGCGGUUUUGUAAGUCUGUCGUGAAAUCCCCGGGCUCAACCUGGGAAUGGCGAUGGAGACUGCAAGGCUAGAGUUUGGCAGAGGGGGGUAGAAUUCCACGUGUAGCAGUGAAAUGCGUAGAUAUGUGGAGGAACACCGAUGGCGAAGGCAGCCCCCUGGGUCAAAACUGACGCUCAUGCACGAAGCGUGGGAGCAACAGG